GUAAUGAUUAUGUUUUACUGACGCUGAUUGCCAUUGCAAAAGGUUUAUGGGGGGUCCUGGUGGCGGGCGAGCCCGCCCAGGAAACAAGAAGUACGCAAAAGACACGGGUGAAUAAUUCAGCAGGGCCAGUCCUCCCGGGAGAGAGCCAGCCCGCCUUGUUAUUGUGUAAUGAUCCCUCCGCAGGUUCACCUACGGAGA
rnacentral:misc_RNA from 1 species